GAGAGUUUUUGUAAUGAAAUGUAUCACUGUGUCUAGGGGCUGGAGUUCCACAAUGAUAUAAACAACGUAGGGCCCUGUACAAAAACCUAAAGAAGGAAAAAGGCAAUAUAUUUUCAGGAAGAAAGAAGAUGGGUGACUGAAAUGAUUAAGGAGAUAAAUAUAGCAUUCUUUUCAUGUUUCUAUUUGUCCUGGAAAUACAGACCUCACAGGGUUUCUAAAAGCUGGAGGAAAGGGAGAACUUGGAAAUUCUGUACUCAAUCAAGUUAUUUGCAAUUAUUGAACUAUUCAAGUACUGUUUUUCCCUUUCUGGUUUUGGAAGAAAGUGUGGCUCUGGGUACCCUCAUGGAGUUGCAUAUGUUGAUAGUUAGGACAAAUAUCUGGCUUUUCAUCUCCUGUUUUUACAACACUUUUGAAAACCAUGAAGAAAGAGCUGUUUAUUGGAGUAAGUAUUAGCAGUGUGAGUGCAGAAAAGCUUUUAUUUGGAAGUGGGACCACUCUCACAGUUGAACCAAAUGAUGAAAAAAGUUCUGUCCCACAAGUCAUUGUGAUGAAAUCGAAGAAAGUAGAAGAUGACAGCAUUGGGAAAGCAGCUUGUUUGGCAAGGAAUUUCUAUCCAAAGAACAUCAGCUUGGAGAUGACCUCUAAUGAGGUUGUAUAUGAACAGAGUACAUCCAUUUUGACAUCAGAAGGGUUGUAUGAUACUAUUAAGGUGGUCAACGUGGCAAAAGACACAGGGGUGACCUGCAUGGCCAAAUUCAACAGCAGCACUAUUACAGCCAAUGCAACAUUGCCAGAAAAGGAGACUGAAGAACCAGUAACAGGGAACGUUUGCAACACCUCUGCUCAAGAUACCAAAGUGGAGAAAGCGAACAUGCUGUCUAUGGCUGUGUUGGGUUUGAGAGUCCUGUUGGCAAAAAGUAUUGCCUUCAAUACACUCAUGAGUAUCAAGUUGUUUCUUUUCUGAGACAGUGGGGAAGAAAGGCAACAGCAAUCUGAAGAACAGCAGGAGAGAGCAUGUACCAGCAGUACAACAGGUUGAACAGCUAACAUCAAAUCUGCUGACGAUAACCAUCCAGAAAACAAGGCACCUUCCUUUUAAGCCAUUUUAUACUGCUGAAUCCUGCAUAGCUAGUUUAUAUAGUUUUAAGAGUUGUAACUGCUUUUGCUAUUUCUUUUUCUCUGUGAACUGAGGAGAGUGUAUUCUUCCUCAUCCCCCUGCUAAACAGAAAUAGAUCUCCCCGCUUUUCUAGCCUUUGCAGAUAAUUAUCCAACCUACUUCAACAGUUUUGAAAAAUCCAAUCCUCACUGCAGAUAUGUGACCCUUUUAAAACACCUUUUGAAGGCAUGUUGCAUUGCUAUCUGUAGAAUUGAUGUAUUACUGAUUGGAGAAUUAAGGCACAGUAGAUGCUAAUUAUAGCUUUAAUGUUUUUUAGAUAGCUUUAAUAACAAUAAGUUUCUAGUGUAGAUGAGAAGACCUGUAUUGGAUCUGAAGUGAUUCAAUUCAACCAGACAAUGUUCAACCAUAGAAGCAUUUCUUUAUUAAACCUGUAUUUCUUUUGCAAAGCGUACAGCACAUGAGUUUUGGGUUACUGUAGUAAUAAGCAAAAUAAAGUUUUACUUGAGCCAAAA